AGUCGAGCGAGUCUGCCUUGAAGAUCGGAGUGCUUGCACUCUGUGAAACAAGAUACAGGCUAGCGGCGGACGGGUGAGUAACACGUGGGUAACCUGCCCAAGAGAUCGGGAUAACACCUGGAAACAGAUGCUAAUACCGGAUAACAACAGAUGAUGCCUAUCAACUGUUUAAAAGAUGGUUCUGCUAUCACUCUUGGAUGGACCUGCGGUGCAUUAGCUAGUUGGUAGGGUAACGGCCUACCAAGGCGAUGAUGCAUAGCCGAGUUGAGAGACUGAUCGGCCACAUUGGGACUGAGACACGGCCCAAACUCCUACGGGAGGCAGCAGUAGGGAAUCUUCCACAAUGGACGCAAGUCUGAUGGAGCAACGCCGCGUGAGUGAAGAAGGGUUUCGGCUCGUAAAGCUCUGUUGUUGGUGAAGAAGGACAGGGGUAGUAACUGACCUUUGUUUGACGGUAAUCAAUAAGAAAGUCACGGCUAACUACGUGCCAGCAGCCGCGGUAAUACGUAGGUGGCAAGCGUUGUCCGGAUUUAUUGGGCGUAAAGCGAGUGCAGGCGGCUCGAUAAGUCUGAUGUGAAAGCCUUCGGCUCAACCGGAGAAUUGCAUCAGAAACUGUCGAGCUUGAGUACAGAAGAGGAGAGUGGAACUCCAUGUGUAGCGGUGAAAUGCGUAGAUAUAUGGAAGAACACCGGUGGCGAAGGCGGCUCUCUGGUCUGUUACUGACGCUGAGGCUCGAAAGCAUGGGUAGCGAACAGGAUUAGAUACCCUGGUAGUCCAUGCCGUANACGAUGAGUGCUAAGUGUUGGGAGGUUUCCGCCUCUCAGUGCUGCAGCUAACGCAUUAAGCACUCCGCCUGGGGAGUACGACCCGCAGGU
rnacentral:rRNA from 1 species